rnacentral:rRNA from 1 species
GACGAACGCUGGCGGCGUGCCUAAUACAUGCAAGUAGAACGCUGAAGGAGGAGCUUGCUUCUCUGGAUGAGUUGCGAACGGGUGAGUAACGCGUAGGUAACCUGCCUGGUAGCGGGGGAUAACUAUUGGAAACGAUAGCUAAUACCGCAUAAGAGUAGAUGUUGCAUGACAUUUGCUUAAAAGGUGCAAUUGCAUCACUACCAGAUGGACCUGCGUUGUAUUAGCUAGUUGGUGAGGUAACGGCUCACCAAGGCAACGAUACAUAGCCGACCUGAGAGGGUGAUCGGCCACACUACGGAGACUCCUACGGGAGGCAGCAGUAGGGAAUCUUCGGCAAUGGACGGAAGUCUGACCGAGCAACGCCGCGUGAGUGAAGAAGGUUUUCGGAUCGUAAAAGCUCUGUUGUAAAGAGAAAGAAACGAAGUGU